AACUAACGCUGGCGGCGUGCCUAAUACAUGCAAGUCGAACGAGGAAAUCCCUUCGGGGAGAGUAUGAGUGGCGGACGGGUGAGUAACACGUGGAUAAUCUGCCCUUCGGUGGGGAAUAACUAGUCGAAAGAUUGGCUAAUACCGCAUAAGACCACAAGAGCUGCGGCUCAAGGGGUUAAAGGUUUUUCACCGAUGGAUGAGUCCGCGUCCGAUUAGCUAGUUGGUGAGGUAAUGGCUCACCAAGGCAAUGAUCGGUAGCUGGUCUGAGAGGAUGACCAGUCACACUGGAACUGAGACACGGUCCAGACUCCUACGGGAGGCAGCAGUAGGGAAUUUUGCACAAUGGAGGAAACUCUGAUGCAGCGACGCCGCGUGAGUGAUGAAGGCCUUCGGGUUGUAAAGCUCUGUUCUAAGGGAAAAAGUUCUGAUUGUACCUUAGAAGAAAGGAUCGGCUAACUUCGUGCCAGCAGCCGCCGUAA
rnacentral:rRNA from 1 species